rnacentral:rRNA from 1 species
GUAGGUGGCAAGCGUUGUCCGGAAUUAUUGGGCGUAAAGCGCGCGCAGGCGGUUCUUUAAGUCUGAUGUGAAAGCCCACGGCUCAACCGUGGAGGGUCAUUGGAAACUGGAGAACUUGAGUACAGAAGAGGAAAGCGGAAUUCCACGUGUAGCGGUGAAAUGCGUAGAGAUGUGGAGGAACACCAUUGGCGAAGGCGGCUUUCUGGUCUGUAACUGACGCUGAGGCGCGAAAGCGUGGGGAGCAAACAGGAUUAGAUACCCUGGUAGUCCACGCCGUAAACGAUGAGUGCUAAGUGUUAGGGGGGUUUUCCGCCCCCCUUAGUGCUGCAGCUAACGCAUUAAGCACUCCGCCUGGGAUACGGCCGCAAGGCUG